rnacentral:rRNA from 1 species
GUUAGGAAUAUUGGACAAUGGGCGCAAGCCUGAUCCAGCCAUGCCGCGUGAGUGAUGAAGGCCUUCGGGUUGUAAAGCUCUUUAGCCGAUGAUUAUAAUGACUGUAGUCGGAAAAUAAGCCCCGGCUAACUUCGUGCCAGCAGCCGCGGUAAUACGAAGGGGGCGAGCGUUAUUCGGAAUCACUGGGCGUAAAGCGUGCGUAGGCGGCUUUGCAAGUUGGGAGUGAAAGCCCAGGGCUCAACCCUGGAAUUGCUCUCAAAACUGCAAGGCUCGAAUUCGGGAGAGGAUAGCGGAAUUGUCAGUGUAGCAGUGAAAUGCGUAGAUAUUGACAGGAACACCAGUGGCGUAAGCGGCUAUCUGGACCGAUAUUGACGCUGAGGCACGAAAGCGUGGGGAUCAAACAGGAUUAGAAACCCGGGUAGUCC